CUGAGUGAGCGCUGUGUUGCUGAAUUGGUUUGAGUCAGACAAGUCUGCGUCCAAAAUGGACUUCUUUUGCGGUGUGUAGAACGGGAAUGUAUGCGUUUCAACAGUUUAAGAUGACCUGAACACAGACGCUGUGUCUGGGUCAACCUCAGCAACAUUUUCUCAGGUUCAAGCAGACAUCCACCUCCAGGACAUUUCCCACCUACCAUCCUAGGAUGGACCAGCAACAUUUUCUUAGGUUCAAGCAGACAUCCACUGCCAUGUUCCCCACCUACCAUCCCAGGACAGACCGGUGUGGCAUAUUGAAGAGAAGACCCCAAAGAAGGGCAGACGCUGGCUUUCGUGUAGCCCACUGAGAUGCAACUGGAGGUGUUACAAACGUGAUGCAAAGAAUCAAGUUCAAUCCAUGGUUAAAGUUGGUGGGGGAGACGUGACUUGUUCAUGAGACCUGUGGAAAAGAUGAGAUGAAGGAUGAAGUGUUGGAAGACAAAUGAGAACAUCGAGCGAGUGAACUAGGUGGUGUGUAGUGACUUAAGAUUGACUGUGCGAAGGUGCCCAACCUGAACGGGGAGGACCAUCUUGGUGCUGGUGUUGGGUGAGCGGAAGGUGGUCGUCAAGAUGGUGCUCAAGCUUGUAGGAUGACAAAAAGGAGUCUUCUGUGUCUUUUUUUCAAAACUUGCUGGAGAAGAGGGGGUACAAUUGUGUGCCCAAACCAAAGAUCAAGGUCAUGCUGAUAGCAUUUGUUGACCAGAAGGGAGUGAGUGAUCCAUCAGGAGUUUGUGCCUUAAGGUCAGACAGUAAUUGAGGUCUUCUACUGUAAUGUCAAUCGCCUCCAAGACCCUGUUCAGCAAGCUCUGUGGAGGACAACACGCCUGGCAGUUCUUGGAUUGCAGCUUUCAACCACUCGAUUUAUUCCUCAGAUCUUGCCACUGUAUGACUUCUUGCUAUUUCCUGGCACAAGACUACUGCCAGAGGAACUCAUUUUGUGUUUUGCCACUGUGACUUAGGCACAGUGGCAAAACUGUGCCUAAGUAACAGUGGCGGGGGGGCCUCAAGGACUUCACCAGGUGCUUCUGUUGGUGGCAGAAGUGAUUUGUAGAAGUGCAUCAACUCUGGAGGGGAUACCUUUGUUGAAGGGUAUAACGUGUAAUUUUCUGUAGAUUUUGCAAUAUUUAAUUUACAAGAUAAUGUUUAUUCUUUUUGUCGUACCUCAUACAUUUCUCCUGGUACUCAGGCGCCCUUCCAUAUUCCAAAACAUGCUUCUUGGGAUAAUUGAAUAUUUUAAAUUGUCCAUAGAUGGGAAUGUGAGUGUUAGUCAUUUAAUUAAUUAAUUAAUUAAUUAAUUAAUGUAUUUAUUUUUAAAUGUGCCAUGUGAUUGACUGGUGACAAGUCCAGGAUGUUGGGCUGUAGUCAGUUGGGGUAGACUCAAAGGUUCACCGGUGACUGUAAUAAGGAUAAGUGGUAUAGAAAAUGGAUGGCUAUUGUUUUUCUACCUAUAGAUGGCAGUAGCAACGCACAGUAAAGCUGCUGCUCUUUCUCUUUGUAACAGGAGAGCCAUUUUGCUUCAGGAGCGGAAAUGUUCCUGGGGAUUUCGACAGAAUGCUGGAGGAGGGAGAAGCUAAUGUUGGUCAUCUAAUUGGACCCACUUGUCUAGAUACAGUGCGUUUAAUUUAGCUGGGUGAACAGGGUCGUUGUGUUUUCAGUGGAAAGAGAGCAUGUCCGCUGAGUGUCUCCGAAUAGAGUGGUAAUUAUUUUCCUCGUCUGCAGCUGUUUUUCCUCUUAGCUCUGUCUUGACGUUGCCAGGAAACGGGAGCGAAGGGUAAACCUGUUUUCUACACUGAAAAUACACCGAGGAGAGUGAAAAGUCAAUGCAGGAUGUUCCACUUUCCAUGAGCUCAUGCAUACAUAAUGUCCUGCGCAGUCAUCUGCAUGCAAGCACGUGCGCUGCAGAGGUGACUGGAGUGUAGCGUUCCAAUUAGAACGGAAUCUGCUGGCAAUCUGUCUGGAACACUUUACUCUACACAGUUUACUUCCUUUGUAAAAUUUGGCCACUUAUUCUGUAGACUGUUGGCUGGAUAAAACUGAAGGACGCCUGGCUGGCACCUACUGCCUACCUGCCAUCAACAUAAAGUAAAAUAAGAAAUAAGCCUUCCACUGUGAAUGAAAAAGAAAAAAAAAAAAGUUUGGCAGCAUGUCACUUUCCACUGAAAAUUGGAACACAAGUGCAUCAUUAAAUUAAAAUACUGUGGGAAGUUAUUUCAGUAGGUCAAUUCAAAAUGCAAAACUCAUGCUCUAUAGAUUCAGGAUUGUUUUAUUUUGAUGAUUGCAUGCAGCUAAUGAAAAUUCCAAAUUCACCAUCACAAGAAAUUACAAUUUUACAAAAACAAAUAUUAUUUUAGUUCCGUGUCAUGUAGUGUUUCCCAUACUUUCAGCUCAAGAUUGCACUUAAUUUGGUUCCUCCCAGGAACCCAAUUUUAUACUACAUGUAUUGCCAUAACUUCAAAAUAUAGGAACGAUAAAGAACAUCUUGCAUUUUAUACUGCAUAAUAUUGAAUUUCCAAGUCCUUCAGGGUGACUUUAUAUUCUUCGUAACAAACAUGAGGAAAUGGUUGUGUAUCCCCCUUCUGUUUAAAAAGUUGUAAUAUCUAUAAUGUGUACUUUAUUGGUCAUUUGCAGAAAAUUACUUUGUUGCAAUAUAGUGUAAUUGUAGGGAUAUACAUUGUGAAAAACACCUUGUCAAGACUGACGCGUUGUGCUUCUUGAACGUAACACCCAUAUGAAAACUAGCCCAAAUGAACAGGAGGGCAAGCACAAUAAAAAAAAAAAAAAAAAAUUGUGUUGCAUGAUGUAAUCAAAUAUUUAAAAUACUAUGCUGCGAUGACUACUUAAAUUCGCGAUCUGCGAGGCUGUGUUCACGCUCGAGGCAUGAGCUUGUCAUGGUUUUGUGCCAUCAAAAUAAGGUGCCGUUUGUAAUGACUAGGUUGCAUUCAAGGCGUCGUGUGUGGAACAAUGGAUUAUGAGUCAGCGCUUCAUGUUGAAAUGGAAGAGAAACGAGGAGCGCCCGUUGUGUGCAGUAGGGGGCACUGUUGCUCCGAGCUGCCCCCCUCUCACCACACGUCCUACUUCUUUCUCGGAGGCGUGAAUGAGGGGUGAGAUCACAGCAGCUCAGUUUGACAGCUUGAGAAAACGUCUGCUGCAUGUGUAUUUGUGAUACUUUUACUUAAGUGCUCGCAAUAACUCUCAAACCGAAGUAGUAUACUGUCAAUGUUAUGCUAUGUUAAAAUCCCUGCAUUGCAGAUUAUAGGGCCUUAUUUUAAACCACCAAUCCAUUACUGUUUAUAUGUGCCCAUGGGACUAUUACAAGGUAUAUUUGAGUUGUGCAAGACAUGACUGGAGAACCUGUCACCAAAUGAUGGUCAGCAGUAAUUACCGUUGCUCUGCUGUUUGGCCCUGCGAAUGUCAGGUCGUGAUCUUGUGCAACGAAUGGCUCGCAGGGCUCAGAUUGGAUAUCUGACAGGUGGGGAUGACUGGUAGUGCAGAAGCAGCUGUGUUUGGGAGUUAAGCGGCCAGAAAUAGCUCGCUAGUAUGUGGUUGCCAUGGCAGCUUCAGCAGUAGUCUGAGGAGCUUUUGGUAAGAUGGUGUUGAUCUUUGAGGCCCUCCCGCGUAUGUGCCGUUGAGCGUUUUAACACCCGAUGCCCAGAGUCACUCUGUCUGUAGCUGAUGUCAUGCGUGUGGGUCUCGUCAAAUAUUCACAGUCACGGAGGGAAACAUUAGAAGCGGGCCAGCAGCUAUAAUAAUAAACACCAGUUGGGCCCAACACCUCUGUGUCAUUCACCAAGUGAGGGCGAAGAUGUCCUAAAAAUAAAGCGACACUGUACGUGCGGAGAGUAUUAACUUCCACGCAGAUGACCCAUUUUCCAUCUCGGAGGGGCUGAGGAUGGGUGGAAAAUCAGAGGGAGUGGAGCCAAUCACGUGACUCCAAAGCAGGCUACAAAUCCUGGCGGAUUUCUCUUCCACCAAAGCCUUUCUGUCGUGUGGUUUUCCCAUUUUUAUGCUUUCCUUGUGCUCAACAGGAGCCCCUUUCAAACUGCCUGUGAAAAACUAAAUUUCCUUCGAUUUAAACAGCACUGAGGUGGCAUGGGGUAUGACGUUUACCCAUUCAUUUUCUGAUUUCGGAGGUAAAAUCUGAAGCCUCUUUUACACAGAGGCUGCAAAAUGAUUGCAUUGGAGACAUAACAGUAACAUUCAUUUACUUGUUUUGCACCCAGAACCCAACGAGCCAGAACCUUGUGAUCUCUGUGUGGAAGAGGAUGACUAUCUGGAAUCGGGGUGUGAAGUUUAAGACUCAACACUCACUUCUCUCGACCUGUUUGGUUGAAAGCAAUUGUUCCUGACGGCCGAGUAUUUUGUCACCCUAUACUCUGGCACUAAUGUCAUCACGCAUUUAAUUAUCUGAUUACAGGAUGCUGCGUAAGCGCACACAAUGAAGGCAAUAUCUAAUGCGCAAAGUCACGUGACCGAACCCAGAAAACGGGUUAGUGGACUUCCUGUGUAUGCCCUGAUAACUACCAUAACAACGGGUUUAUAUGAUGAUAGUUUGAACCCAAAUUUGCUAUAAUUGUUUUCUUUAUGGUUGUGUUUUCGGAUAAAAGUUAAAUACGUGUCUAUCAUUUAUUUAUACAAAUAUGCAAACAUGAACAAAGCCUAAACAUCAGAUGAUGUCAUCUUUGAUAGCUCUUGUAGACAUCUUGUGUAAAACAAACGGUACUGUAGACAUUUAAAGUUCCUGCUGGUGCUUUGUCCCUGUCUCCUGCUAUAGGGCUUCGCCAUUUAUUCGAGGCGGACGGAUGUGCUUUGACCUGUCUUGCCAACUGUGGAAGUUGGUUGCACAUACACUCUCUUGGGUUUCUUUUUAAAAGCCGGAUCCAUUCUAGAUCUUCUGUUAGGUCUCGAAUGUACCCAUUUCGUGGGUCCUCUGUGUGAAACAGGCUAAUAUUCUGUAGCCCUUCCAUUUGUGGUUAUGGCCCAGCAUCCAUUCUAGCCCUCUUGUUUACAUUUCCUGCCGAGCUGCAUGGUGGGGGCCGCGUGCACCAAACCACCUCCUAAUGUCAUCCUGCCCAACCUCCGCCUUUCUCCUCAUCACCAGAUGCCCGAUAUGACUGAAAUUCAAUAGUGCUGCUUUUCCUGAGAGGUGUAAGUGCAUCACAUGACUUGUGAAUCCCUGUGUACAUUGGGCAGCAUUUUGGUCUGGUGGCAAGCUCCUCUCGGAGGCUGCCAAAUUUGUAAUGCAUUGGAAAUAUCCAUCCAUCCAUCCAUUUUCUGAGCCGCUUCUCCUCACUAGGGUCGCGGGCGUGCUGCAGCCUAUCCCAGCUGUCAUCGGGCAGGAGGCGGGGUACACCCUGAACUGGUUGCCAGCCAAUCGCAGGGCACAUACAAGCAAAACCAUUCGCACUGACAUUCACACCUACGGGCAAUUUAGAGUCUCCAAUUCAUGCAUGUUUUUGGGACGUGGGAGGAAACCGGAGUGCCCGGAGAAAACCCACACAGGCACGGGGAGAACAUGCAAACUCCACACAGGCGGGACCGGGGAUUGAACCCGGUUCCUCAGAACUGUGAGGCGGACGCUCUAACCAGUCGCCCACCGUGGAAAUAAAGAGGAGAAAAUCGACAUUUCCCUUCCUGUCAUCCAUCAUCAACAUUAUCUGUGCAAUCUACAGUGGAAAAUACAAAGUAUUCAGAGCAGCAGGGUGAAGCAAGGGUUAACUGUUUUUUUUCCCUUCCUCUGCCUGUGAUCUGCCCUCCUCUUGCACAGCAGAGCUUUGAAUAGCAUGAGAGUCAGACAGGCUUGUUUUGCAUACUGUCGCUCCUGCAUUGACUUGUAGCAAAUCCCUGCCCUCGGGAGGCAUGUCAGAGGGGAUUAAUGGGAGGGCCGGGCCUCACAGAGUUCCCCAUUGUGGCGGCAUAGCCCUGCACUGUAUUUUCAUCGUACGCAGUAAGGAAAGAGCGAGCAGGUGGGGUGGUGCUGUUGGUGGAGGAGGGGUCGAGUGUUUAUUGUGUGCAUUGGGAGAGGAGGAGGGGUUAUACAGUGGUGUUAUUUCUCACUGUCCUGAUUCUUUUGAGGACAAGGGAGGGCAUGAGAGAGUAAAUAAUGUAUUUGGAGCAGCAGGGUGGUGGAGGAGCAGGAGGAGGUGUGGGGUCUUGACCACACUCAGGACAUGCAUGGGAAGGCAAGCAGCCACGCACAGGAAGCAGGCGAGCUGGGGGUGCGGGUGAGGAAGGAGGGAGGGGGCGCUACAACAACCUGGCUGUGUUCCUCUGGGGAAUGUGGGGCCUCAGCAAGAAUGCUGCAAUCCUCCACUUCCGUUCCUCUGUGUUUUACCAAAACAAAAAGUGUACUGCUGCUUCCUGCCAUUCUUAAUGAAAGACGAAGAGUAUGUUUACAUGAUGAGUGGGUAUAGAAUUAGACAAACGUAAGUAAUACGUCUUGUCAGCUAGUCGCAAGAGCAAUGUAGUGAAUGUUUCUGGAUAAGAAGAUUUCUAAGACUUCCCAUAAGUGACACGAACGCAAACGAUAGCGCCGUGGUCCGAAAUACUCACCAGAGGUUGAACGACGAGAUUUUCUUGCAGUAGACUAGAAUAUGAUGUAAGUCGAGUCAAAGCCGAUUCAACCAUUGAUUAUUUUUCAGCACAGGACAGCGGUCGCCAACCUUUUUUGCACCAUGGACCAGUUUCAUGUAAAGACAUAUUUUGAAGGGCGGGCACACAAACAAAUGAAGAAAUUUCUUAAAAACACAACUCACCAUUACGCUGAAUGUAGUUGGUAGGAGGCCUGCGCAUGUCUUUCUUGUCAACAAGCAGUCCGGUCUCAUCCUGUGUUCCAUAGCUUAGGAUGUUGUAAGACGGGACACUGUAGCCAGGUUCCCAAAAAAGUAAGCCUUUCUCUGUAGGGCCUAUAUGUAUGUGACUUGUGGUUUUAUUGUAUUUGAGGAUGGACUUGAAUAUUUUACCAGCUCCUGGUCUGAUUUUGGGUCAAAUAUUUCCACAUGCUUGUAACAGUACUGGCAUAUGCCAAACAAGUGUUCGUGAUGUUGGUUUGGUGCAUGCCAUGAUAUGUAUAAAGUUCCCAUUACCACACA